rnacentral:lncRNA from 1 species
AUGUUAUUGAUCGCACUCACCCAGCUGGGGCUUGAAAGAUGGGUCUUCCUGCCGCGUCACGGGGCACCCUCUUCCUCCCAUCCCAGCCUGGCCAAGUGAUCAAAGGCAGAGUUUAUUGUGCCUCACUCAGAUGCUAUACAACUGGAAGUACCAACCUUUUCUUCUUUGGCCCAGUCUUGUCUGAUGCUCCAUGCUCCAAACGAAUGGAAAGAUUAAGUGAAGACCAGUCAAGGUGACAUGCUGCUGCCUUUGCCUGCUUAUAAAAUGGAUAAAGGCACUGAUGUUCCUGUUACUAGGAGACCAGACAACCUUCUCGAAGUGAAACAUUCCCCAAGACCCAGGAGUCAUCUGUGUGACCUUGAUACCAUCUAUCUUCGAAGAAAGCAGGAAGUGGAGGAUGCCAUGGCAACAGAUAAUGGAAGCCAUCGAGGAAAGAAGCUAACAGACAAGGCUACUCCCAGAAAAAAUACCAAGUAAAAGAGUCACAUCCAAACCAGGCCAACUGAGAAAACAAGAAGAGAGGCCAGAAGAAAAGGAGAGGUGAGAGAGAAGUGUACAUUAUUGCUGUGAGCAUGGCCAUGUCAGGGAUAAUACUGCUUCGUGGGAAUGACAAGGCUUUUAUGAUUCAUAACAGUAGCAAAAUUACAGCUAUGAAGUAGCACAAAAUAGUUAUAUGGUUGGAGGUCAUCACAACCUGAGGGACUGUAUUAAGGGGUCACAGCGU